rnacentral:snRNA from 1 species
GUGCUUGGGCAGCACAUAUACUAAAAUAGGAAUGAUACAAAGAUUGGCAUGGCCCUCGCAUAAGGAUGACACACAAAUUUGUGAGGCUUUCCAUACGUAA